CCAUGCAGCUGGGGUGGUAGCGGUGCCCUGUACCUGCAAUCCGCUAUAGCGGGGGUGUUGGCCUGCCUCGGGUGUUGUUUUCAGUGCUGGCCAUGGUAAGUGGCGUUGACGUAUGGGUCUUGCGCAAUGAAAACCUAUGAACCGUGUCAGGUCGGGAACGAAGCAGCACUAAGUAGGAGCUUUCAUGUGCCGCAAGGGUGCCUGGACUGAGUUAACUGCUAUGGUAACGACUGGGAUUGGCUCACAAAGCAGGCCGCAUGG
rnacentral:SRP_RNA from 1 species